AGUACGUUGUCGAUGAUUGUUCCGACAACAACAAUGGCAUAGAGUAGAUGAAGGGGCUCUUGUCAGUUAGACCCGCAAGCACAUAUGAGUUUUGCUGGUUUAAAGACACACUCCAACUGUUUGAUGAAAUGCUUCAACUAAAAAUUCAAGAUGCAAAUUACCGGCAUAUGCGUUUUUUGCGAUGGACAUCAUCUGAAAAUGAAAUUCAUCAAACUAAUUUGCUGUUUUUUGGGGACUUCAAGAAUUAGAAUGGAUAAUGGGUAGAUUGAUACUGAUGGUGUCUCUUUAGCAACAUGCUGGACAGGUUUGAUUGAUAUUACAAGUUUUCAUCUUAUUAUAUGUUUACAACUGGAAUAAUAAUUUCCUUGGUGCAACAGGAGGUAGCAUUGUCAUUUGUACUUUACUUUUGUUUAUUUGAUUUAGGGUAAAGGGAUGUUAUUAGAAUCAGCUCUAAUGAACAGGUGCUCCCAAAAUGGUCACAAACAGGUUGAGAUUAUUUUUACAUUGUAGCACGCAUCCACCAAAUAUAUACCAUAUUCUGGACAAUAUAUAAUUCAAGGAUAACAUAAGAUAUGGGUCGUGGUGUCCCAUGUAGAGAGUUCAAAAUGUGAAAGAUGCUGGAAUGUUUCACCUCAUGUUGGUUCAUUUUUUUUAUCACCCGACGCUUUGCAAACGCUGAUGUUAUUGCUGGUCAGCCACUUCAUGUUCUUGCAGCUGCAGAAAGUGGAAAGUAAAAUCGUGCAGAAAGUUCGAGGAUAGCGCAUGCUUCUGGUCAAACGGGAUCUUAACAGGCCACGUGGUUUUAUGUUUCUUCGUAAGGUGGUCGCUUGAUUUUUUAUUUGAAUCGCUUGGUGAAAUGUGUGGGCGGAUGUAUUUCCAAAAAUCUUUGCUUUGGAGUCCAACAAAAAUGAAAUUGUGGCUGUGAGAUGUCAAUCGUAGUGUCUCAAUUUGGUUUUGGGAGUGAAAAAGGGAACCAUUGUUGGAUGAAGAGCUGUUAGAGUUUGGUCUUUGUCAAAAUUUAAUUCAAGAGAUCACGCUCUGGGAGUCUACUAACCAGAUUUUGAGGAAGCGGGUUGACCAUUUCGAAAUAUGUUGGCCCUUUGAAUAAUACCAGGUCAAAUGAGACCUACGGAGCUGCAUGAAGCACGGUUUGAGGCCUUGCAACAAGGGAUCUUGAAAGCUUCAAUAUUUGUUUAUGAACAAUUAUGUCAUAAAAGAUGCGUUCAUCAGAAAUCGGUAUUACUGUCCGCUGGCGCACGAAAGAUACUUAUAAGGAUAUCAAAGUGUUGGUUUUAUUUGAAUCAUAGUGUUGACGUUAACACACAUUUUCACGGCCGCGUCGAUAAAGUUUCACCCACGCCGAUUUCUCAGUCGUUGAUCGAGCAUUUUAUGCAUAGUCGUCAAUAGCGAAUUGCUGAUGAUGACGAUAAGCUACAUAUACGCUACGUAGCUAUAGUGUUAAAAUAGCGGGCACCAUAGUUGUUAACGGUGAAUAACGACAAAGAGCGAUAAGGUACCUACCUAUAUGUUACAUAGCGAAUAACGAUAAAUAGCGGGCAGUGAUGGUGAUUAACGGUGGGUAUAAGUUCCGGGGGUGGUAGAAGGUGAUUGUGGUGGUGACGGUUGACAAUUAUGGCGGACAAUGGUGGUUUGGUUUUUAGUGGUGCUCGGUGGAGCUAUGGAGAGUAACCGGGGUAGCCGGUGAGGUAUUAACCAGAGACGAGUCAAGUAACGAGUCAACCACUGGUCAACCGCGGUCAAAGCUGGUCAAUAGUGGUUAACAUGUCAGACUCGGUUGGCAUUUGAAUCGGGGAAACUCGGUGAGAAAUUCAAGAACUGGGCAUUCGUGAUGCCAUGUUAUAUUGACGGAAGUAGUAUGUACCCACUUGUAUACGAAUCUUUAUUACCUAAAGUACGUCGUUAGCUCCACAAGCACGCCUUUGUCUCUGUUGAAGACAAAUCGAGCGUUAGCUGCACCAGAUAAAAAAAACCUUUGUCUCUGUUGAAGACAAAUUGAGCGUUAGCCGUACCAGAAAAAAAAGAGCUAUGAGUUUCAUCAACUGCUGUUGUAUUAUGUGGGCACAUAAGUAGUUAUCACUCAAUUAGCUAUUGGUGCUCCUCUGCCUCCCGUAGUUAUUUUUCAGGUUCCACCCAGAGUAAUAGAGUAAUAUGACGCCUUUGUGGCUGCAGUAGAUAAAGGAAAUAUAAUAACAAUGCCAAACAGAAGCAUGCCUACUCCUGGCGCGCUUUUAAUGGGAGACCCAUUUAACACGUGACACCCGUUCCGGUGUAGGAAUGAUUGUUGUGUUAUCAGAUAUCGUCUUACUUCGCGACCUUUGUAGACCACUAAGUAAUCUUAAUGAUGCACCUACACUUUGCAAUUAUCUUGAGUGCUUCUAUGCUCUUAGAAAGUCGUGUCAUCUACGAUAAACACAUUGGUGGGUGCUCUAUACAAGGUAUUUUGUGCAUCACCAGACUCAUGAAGAAAAGAAAUGCGUCAAGCAUGCUUCAAUUAUCUUAGCCUUGAAGGCAUAUGCUCACAAGGACCGAUAUCUUUACUUUCAUGACUCAACCGACGCCUCAUAGUCCUAUUUCUUCAUUUUUUUCUAUUGCUAUCUAUGGUGUUGGCUGUUUCUCUCAACCUGUUCCCAUCACCAAAACCGUUAUGGCUUGGGGCUCGACUCAUCUUGGGUGCAUCUGGGAUCAUCUUUCCAAUUAUCAAGUCGGAAGGAGUUCGACAAAUGUACUUCUCAGCAAUGGUUGCAGCAUACUACAAAGCUCCUCAAGUUGCUUAACCAUCAAUCAUAUCUUGAGUUUUUAAUGUUGGAAUGGUAUUGGAAGUAGGGUCCUAAUCUUCAUUUGGGGAGGUUGUGAUUAUUGUUUGGUUUGAAGGUUUUUGGAUUUAGGUAUAUGCAAUGCCUAAAGAAGUUGAAUUGGUUAUUAUUGUUUGUUGCUUAUAGACUUAAAAUGAGAGUUUGUGUUUCGAAGUUAUGUGUAGUAACGAAUGUAUUAGCUGCGAUUGUGUUUGUGAAAUUUCUGAUUAAUCACCAUAUCCGACAGUGGUUUUAAAAUUUUUUUAUGUUCAACGAUAAGGUAAAGUAUUAACCUUUUGGGAUGUUCUAAUUCUGGUGCGAA